UUCUCCUGCCUCAGCCUCCCGAGUAGCUGGAACUACAGGCGCCCGCCAUGAUGCCCGGCUCAUUUUCUGUGUUUUCAGUAGAGACGGGGUUUCACUGUGUUAGCCAGGAAAGUCUUGAUCUCCUGACCUCGUGAUCCUGACCUCGGCCUCCCAAAGUGCUGGGAUUACAGGCGCGAGCCACCGCGCCCGACAGCAGUUAUGAAGUUCUAAAAGCAAGUCUUAAUCAGGAAGUGUCCUUGAUCACCAACGGCUCGCCCAGGCAUGCUGGCUCUCUUCCACUUCCACCUUCCACCAUGGGAUGACGCAGUAAGAAGGCCAUCAGUAGAUGCCAGUCCCUCAACCUUGAACUUUCCAGACGCAGAACUUUAUGCCUCCAUUUUCCUCUGCUGCAUGGCCCCAGGAGAGAUUUUAAUUAGCUUUCUAACCUUGGUCCAGAUUGCACAUGCAAAUGGUAGAGGAUGCAACACCCCCGCUUGUGGAGCUGCCGCUUGUGUCUGGCAUGAAAAUUCACAAGAAGAGAGGAAAUACUGAGGAGAAAAUGGCAGAUUGUGUUUGCUGAAUUUGAUUGACGAAGAAGUCACCAUGAAAAUCACAGUGAACCAUUUGGAAAGCAAACUGCCAAAAAAUAAUAGUUAGUCAUGCUCUCAGGCUGGUUGUUUUGGCUGUUGUGGGUUUCUUGCAUUUCCAGAUGAUUGCAAAGAGCUGUUUCUCAAUUUCUGCAACAAGUGCCAGCUGAAAUUUUGGUACCAGUUUCAUUAAAUAUGUAGAACAAUUUGAGCCUGAGUGAGUUCUGUGGAGCCCAUACUACCUGCGAUUCAAGCCAGCAACCUUGGAAUCUCCCUGAACAAUUUCUAUGGUGUCCAAUCACAUUUGCAAUCACUCCCCACACUCAGUAGGUUCUGCCCCCACAUCAUUUCUUUUCUCUAUCCUCUUUCCCAGCUUUAUAAUAUGACUUAGUUCAAGCCCUAAUCACUGGAUUAUUCAAAGUCCCUUAACAGGUUAAUUCCUACUGUGAUCAACACUUUAAAGGAAGGCAAUAGGGCCAGGCAUGGUGGCUCACGGCUGUAAUCCCAGCACUUUGGGAGGCUGAGGCGAGUGGAUCACAAGGUCGGGAGUUUGAGACCAGCCUGACUAACACAGUGAAACCCCGACUCUACUAAAAAUACAAAAAAUUAGCCAGGUGUGGUCGUGGGUACCUGUAGUCCCAGCUACUAGGGAGGCUGAGGCAGGAGAAUGGCGUGAACCCGAGAGGCGGAGCUUGCAGUGAGCCAAGAUUACGCCACUGCACUCCAGCCUGGGUGACGGAGCGAGACUCCAUCUCAAAAAAAAUAAAAAAUAAAUAAAACAGAAAGGCAAUGGCUAUCCCAAAUUGCUGAAGCCUUUGCUAAAAGCACAGACAGAAAACAACAAUAUGGUGAUGUUUGUGUUAAACAAAUGUUAUUGAUUCUAGGACACAGGUCAGAUGGCAAAUAGUCAAACUCAAAUGUUGAUCCCAGGGGUGGCUGUAUCAUCACUAAGGCCAAAUCACAACUUUGACUGGUCUCAUGGGAACACAGAUCUUGGGUUUGGAAAGAGCACAGGCCUGGCCAUGGGAAUGGACACAGGGUAAUUUUAAGAUGACUAGAGGUUCCUCAAACCCUAAAAGUACCACUGAACCUUGUUUAAAGCUAAAAUGGCUCCUAAAUGAUAGACACGUUUCUCAGUUAUCUCUGCAAACUGAAGAUCCUAUCAGCCUGUUCAGGGUCUCACAGGCCUCUGGGUUUGUACAUGAUGUCCCUACAGUGGCGAUGGGGACUGAUGAGAGCCACCGUUCCCAUUGGAGGAGGGCAAGCUGCCACUGAGUGUCAGCUGCUGGAGUAAACAUCCAAUCACAUGUGUACCUGUAUCCUAUGGAUAUUGGCUUCCCCUCAUACAACUUGUUGUUCCUUUGUUUUCCAUUCCUGACUAUAUUUGAAUCUUUCUUGGAUUUCCAGGAAACAUCUGACUGCUUUCCUAUGCCACUUCAUACCCAAGAGAAGCUCAGGGAGAUCCUUUAAGGUCCUUUAUGCCCAUUAUGAUAGUACAUGAAUAGGUAAAUGUACCACUGCUCCCUGUACUUCUUGGAUAAUGCACAAAUAGUAAGACAGUCUCGCAACCAGCAGCCUAGACAGCCCAAAUAUGUGAAACCAAAACAGCUUGAUCUUCCAGACCUGUUCUGACUCCUUGAGUCUUAAAUCUCCAAGCCUCUUGAAUGUUUCACCCACAGCCUUCCCUUUGGGAUCUGGCAUGGGACAGGAAGGGCAGAGAAGGGCCUGGGGCUUUUCCUCAGGGAUCCACCACAGUCUAGGCCAGUGGGUGGCAAACUUUUUCUGCAAAGGAUCAGCUGGGAGAUAGUUUCAACUUUGUAGUCUCGUCGCAGCUACUCUACUCGACUCUGCCACUGGAGUGUGAAUGCAGUCAUGAAUAAAAGAAUGAAAGUUUUCCAGUGAAACUUUAGUCACAAAAACAGUCUGCAGGCUGUGUCUGGCCCGUGGGCUUUGGUUUGCUGGCCUGCGGGCUCCUAGAAGGCUCUGACUUUAUCCCUCUAUGAGGGAAAGCAGGUUUUGGGGUAUUCUCCCAAAUCUUUAUACCUUAUGUCUGUGUCUCUUUUUAAAUUAAAAGUAAAAUUUAGGCC
rnacentral:lncRNA from 1 species